GGCUUCCUAAUCAGCCCCAGACUUGGGUCAGGACUUGGGUUUUCUUAGAAGAAGUGCCAAGACCUUUAAAGGGCACCUUUCAUCUCCUUCACCCCUCCUCCCCCCUCUCAGGCAUGGUGCCAAGAGGAAGCACCCAGCAGGCAUGGGUGAGAGGGACACAAAAGGUCUGCAGGGGCUCUUCCUGGCCCUGCUGGCAGCUGGCCUAGCCCCAUCCUCGUCCCCUUCCUUUCUCAAGUUGUGAUUAUCUUUUCAGACCCUGGGGGACUUCUAGCCCUGUAGGCUCCAGAAGGGACUUCCUGUGGCUCUCAGGAACCCCUUGGGUGCUGAGAGGCUCCUGGGAAAGGCUUGAGCCAUGAUACCACGUGCUCCAAAGCCCCACUUUCAUGGGCUCAGCUGCUGAUGAAUCUGCCUUCUUGUGCCACUGACUCUGAGUCCACAGACACAACCCCAGUGGUCUCCUUUCAGCACUGUCGCUGCCAGCUGCCUAAGAUGGGUGACACCUGGGCCCAGCUCCCCUGGCCGGGGCCCCCUCAACCAGCCAUGCUGCUGAUCUCACUACUCUUGGCAGUUGGGGUGAUGCACUCAGAUGCUGGCACCAGCUGCCCGGUCCUCUGCACGUGCCGUAACCAGGUGGUAGAUUGCAGCAGCCAGCGGCUAUUCUCCGUGCCACCGGACUUGCCGAUGGACACUCGCAACCUCAGCCUGGCCCACAAUCGCAUAGCGGCCGUGCCACCUGGCUACCUCACGUGCUACAUGGAGCUCCGCGUGUUGGAUUUGCGCAACAACUCCUUGAUGGAGCUGCCCCCAGGCCUCUUUCUCCAUGCCAAGCGCUUGGCGCACCUGGAUCUGAGCUAUAACAACCUCAGCCACGUGCCAGCCGACAUGUUCCAGGAGGCGCACAGUCUUGUGCACAUUGACCUGAGCCACAAUCCGUGGCUACGCAGGGUGCACCCCCAGGCUUUCCAGGGCCUUGUGCAGCUCCGAGACCUGGACCUCAGCUAUGGUGGACUGGCCUUCCUCAGCCUGGAAGCCCUUGAGGGCCUGCCAGGGCUGGUGACCCUGCAGAUUGGCGGCAACCCCUGGGUGUGUGGCUGCACCAUGGAGCCCCUGCUAAAGUGGCUGCGGAACCGGAUCCAGCGCUGUACAGCAGAUUCUCAACUGGCUGAAUGUCGGGGUCCCCCUGAAGUGGAGGGUGCCCCCCUCUUCUCGCUCACUGAGGAGAGUUUCAAGGCCUGCCACCUGACCCUGACUCUGGAUGAUUACCUCUUCAUUGCCUUCGUGGGCUUUGUGGUCUCCAUUGCAUCUGUGGCCACCAACUUCCUCCUGGGCAUCACAGCAAACUGCUGUCACCGUUGGAGCAAGGCCAGUGAAGAGGAAGAGAUUUGACAUGGGUGCCUCUCACCUCUCCAUGCUUCCAACUACCACUGCCACUGGCCACUGAACACCCUCCCUGCCCGCCCUGGUUCUGUGUGCCUGGCUGCCUCAGUCAUGACUCAAGCAAGACCAGGACACUAACCUGACCUAUCCUGACUUUGUGUGGGCAUCAACCUUGGGUCAAGCACUGUGCUAGGAACUGGGAAUGUACAAUAAAUUGACCCAGUUCCCACCCUCAAGGCACUUACCAUUAGCACAAGAUUGAAAUUUUAAAAUUAUUCCCUUUCCAACAACGUGUCAAUACUCUGAGCACAUAGUAUAGAAGCCCAGAGGAGAAGCCAUCAACUGUGCCUAGCAAAGUCCAAGAGAAUUACAAGAAUGGAGGUGACUCAUGAGCUCAUCUCCUUUGUCAAGCAGACAUAAAUGACCGAGGCCACAACACACAUGCUCCAGCAGCCUCCAUCACCCCAUCCUCCUGGCAGGCCUGAAAGAAAUGAAGGAGGAUAAUGUGUCAUCUUUCAAGAAAUCAUCCCUCAUCCAUGCUUCCUUGAGCUAGUCAACCAAAAGAGUCCCCCGAAACAUUGCUAGAUCUGGAGUGCUUGAACUUUGUGCCCCCUGAAUCUUGCUUAUAGAACCUGGACCAGAGCCCUGCUCCUGUGACAGCUGAAGCCGAACUGUGCCCUGCUCUCUUCUGCUCUGACGAUGGUGGACUUGAGAUGCUCUCGACCAGUCAAGCUGACAGCCUAAAGUGUUGGGAGAAACUUUCAGAAAUAAUAGUCCUGACAAAAUAGUUAAGCUUCCCAUAGAGGAACACCACAUGCAUCUAUGAUAAUCUCCUAGAGACUAUUCUUUGCUGAAAUACAGUUAAUAUGUUUUUAAGAUACGUACUUUUUUGCAUAGAAUUAAAACCAGGCAAGACAUCAAAUGUCCCUUGAGAUCAAACAUUAUUUCUAGUGGGACAAUUUGGUCGCCAUGAAUAGCAAACCUUUCUGAGCACAACACAAAUGUUUCUCCAGCUGCUAAAAGAUCCCCCGUUAACCAAAACACUAUGAGGAAACAAUUCAACCGCCUUCCUGACAAGGAAUUCCCUGCUUGUCCCGGCACCACCACCACCAUCUUGUUUAGGCUUUCAGAAGCAAGCUUCUAGAGGUAAUCUAGCAAUUUUGUCUUGAAUUGCUCCCCAUCCCUGGUGACCACAAAACCAUUAUGGUGUUACCACAGGUUUUAUUCAAACUGUUCCAGGCUGGCUAACAUGUAUUUGAUGGAAUAUCUCUGCAUCUCUAUGUCUGUGUAUGAGGUUCCAUUUAUACUGGUUAUCUGUUGACAUAGGGCUGAUCUUUCUGGAAUUUGAGUCCAGCCCUCUGACACAGUCCACUCGAUCAUCUGACUGUUGCAUUAUUUGAUAUACUAAGAUGGUAUUUCCCCAAGAUUGAAGUGGGAUUGGCUGCUGCAAAAACAGAAAAGGAGAAAAUUUGUGGUGGAGACAUCUUUAUAAGAACCUGACUUCUUCCUGCUCCCAUCUGUUCUUUCCUACCCCUCAAAGACUUGUUCUCAUUGCAAAAGCAUCCUUCAUUCUUGGCCAGAGGAUAUCAAAGUUUAGCUAACCAACAAAACUAUGACAGUUAAGGCCUGGGCCAAGAAAAUUGUUCUGUAGAAGAGCCACCACAUUUGCACUGCAACACUCUAGACUAGUUGCCUCUGGUUACCUU